UUCAAUUGAAAUAAUGCAGAUAAUCAUAUUGGUUGCGUUUAAUUUUGUAGACAAGCACAACCAUAAAAGGUCAAAUUUAUUAACACGUAAUGAUAAUAUUCAAGAAUGUCCACUAAAAAGUAGCCACAUCAUCUGCGACUCCAACAACAGCCGAAUCGAUGAAGACAUGUCUGUGUCAACACUUCAAUAGCGAAUUUUAUUUCAAAAGCGGACAACAUAGCUGAAACACUGACCUAGUUUGCGGCACAACAGGGUUUAUUGCACAUCCUCCCUUUUUCCUCUAAUAUUAACAAUUUAUUCAGACAUCGUCGUAAAACCUUUCCCCUCCAAUAUAGCGAUGGACUGAGCCACAGACAUUCGUCUGCCAGGCUCAGCAUAUCAAAAUCACCUAGAUUUUUCCUCGAAAGAAUCAUAAAUGCGUUCUCGUCUACCUGUGCGUUAUAUGAAGGUAAUCUAGAUCUUAGUCAGUCGGGCUAAUGCAACAUUUUCUGGUAGAGCACUUACAAAACAAAUGUUCAGAACAGUCACUGAGCAGAAUCCUGAAUUUAAGAAUUUAAGCAGUGGACACUUUACUGAACAAAGUCUCGAAAAGUCAUUACGUGACAUGUCACCCAAUAUAUUAUAUACAAUUAUUGUAUACAUAGUUAUAUGAUAUACAAUUUACAUGAUUCAGUUAUCCCAUUAAAAUUAAAAAUUAAAAGUUAAUUUAAAUUUAUAAAUUUUAAAAAAUAUAUGCAGAAAAUAUCAUUAGUGAGACAACAACAACGAAGAUGCGCCUAACAUGUAAACGGUUUGAUGACUCAUGCCCAGCUCUUGGCCGAUGCUACGGCGCUACUAGGCCGAUCUCUUUCGAUCAAUUCAGCGAUUUUAUCGCAGUUUUCGACGACAGGCCUUCCGGACCGGUGCGCAUCUUUGACCAC